UUAAAAAUAAGCUAAACUUAAGCUAUUGGGUUCAUACCCCAACUAUAAAGGUAUCCCCUUUUUUUUAAA
rnacentral:tRNA from 1 species